rnacentral:rRNA from 1 species
GGAAACUCGAGCUAAUACCGCAUACGCCCUUCGGGGGAAAGCGGGGGAUCUUCGGACCUCGCGCUAUUGGAUGAGCCUGCGUUGGAUUAGCUUGUUGGUGAGGUAAAAGCUCACCAAGGCGACGAUCCAUAGCUGGUCUGAGAGGAUGAUCAGCCACACUGGGACUGAGACACGGCCCAGACUCCUACGGGAGGCAGCAGUGGGGAAUAUUGCGCAAUGGGGGAAACCCUGACGCAGCCAUGCCGCGUGUGUGAAGAAGGCCUUAGGGUUGUAAAGCACUUUCAAAAGGGAAGAAAAGUUGGUCGUUAAUAGCGGCCAGCCCUGACAUUACCUUUAGAAGAAGCACCGGCUAACUCCGUGCCAGCAGCCGCGGUAAUACGGAGGGUGCGAGCGUUAAUCGGAAUUACUGGGCGUAAAGCGCGCGUAGGUGGUCUGUUAAGUCAGCUGUGAAAGCCCUGGGCUUAACCUGGGAACUGCAGUUGAUACUGGCAGGCUAGAGUACGAGAGAGGGAGGUAGAAUUCCAUGUGUAGCGGUGAAAUGCGUAGAUAUAUGGAGGAAUACCAGUGGCGAAGCGGCCUCCUGGCUCGAUACUGACACUGAGUGCGAAAGCGUGGGUAGCAAACAGGAUUAGAUACCCUGGUAGUCCACUCCGUAAACGAUGUCUACUA